rnacentral:rRNA from 1 species
UAGGGGAAGCUGUCGAGGCGAGCACGUCGAGGUGGCGAGGGGGCGCUGUGGCGCGUCGAGGUGGUGCGGCGCGGCGGCGCUGGGCGUCGAGGUGGUGCGGGGAGGCGGCGCUGGGCGUCGAGGUGGUGCGGCGCGGUCGCACUGGGCGUCGAGGUGGCGAGGGAGGUAGGGACGGGCAGCUAAACAAGGGAUUUUAUGAGUGGAAAGGGAUAGUGACGGGCGCUGCUCCGGCUUACACAUGGUGAGGUCGUAGGGGCCGCGCCGCAUGUCGGACUCCUUCUCCGUCAGCACCCGCCGCGCCUUCCGCGGCAGCCGGAGGUGGUCGCGGAGCUACAUCCACAACCUCGGUGGCCGUUUUAAAGUUUAACCCUUCUCGUUUUAGAGUGGAAAGGAAAAGGCCGCCUAUACUUCCGCCGAGAGAGGAGAAGUAUCCCAUGCACGUCUCGUGUGGGGAUGUCCGAGAGAGGAUACUUUAGAACAGAUCGAUUUAAAUUACCAGAGCGACGAGGGACG